UACGUAGGGUGCGAGCGUUGUCCGGAAUUACUGGGCGUAAAGAGCUCGUAGGUGGUUUGUCGCGUUGUUCGUGAAAACCGGGGGCUUAACCCUCGGCGUGCGGGCGAUACGGGCAGACUUGAGUACUGCAGGGGAGACUGGAAUUCCUGGUGUAGCGGUGGAAUGCGCAGAUAUCAGGAGGAACACCGGGGGCGAAGGCGGGUCUCUGGGCAGUAACUGACGCUGAGGAGCGAAAGCGGGGGGAGCGAACAGG
rnacentral:rRNA from 1 species